GAUGAACGCUGGCGGGCGUGCCUCAAACAUGCAAGUCGAGCGAGGCUAUGAAUUACCGCAGGGUAAGGCAUAGCCUAGCGGCGAACGGGUGAGUAACACGUGGGUAACCUACCUGGAAGACAGGGAUAACGAUUCGAAAGGGUCGCUAAUACCUGAUAAUAUCCGUCUGCCGGAUGGCGGAGGGAAGAAAGGGGAAACCCGCUUUCAGAUGGGCCCGCGUCCCAUCAGCUAGUUGGUAAGGUAAAGGCUUACCAAGGCGACGACGGGUAGCCGGUCUGAGAGGAUGUACGGCCACACUGGGACUGAGAUACGGCCCAGACUCCUACGGGAGGCAGCAGUUGGGAAUCUUAGGCAAUGGACGAAAGUCUGACCUAGCGACGCCGCGUGAGGGAAGAAGGCCUUCGGGUUGUAAACCUCUGUCAUGGGGGAAGAAGGAAGUGACGGUACCCCAAGAGGAAGCCCCUGCUAACUACGUG
rnacentral:rRNA from 1 species